rnacentral:rRNA from 1 species
GACGAACGCUGGCGGCGUGCUUAACACAUGCAAGUCGAACGGAAAGGCCCUGCUUUUGUGGGGUGCUCGAGUGGCGAACGGGUGAGUAACACGUGAGUAACCUGCCCUUGACUUUGGGAUAACUUCAGGAAACUGGGGCUAAUACCGGAUAGGAGCUCCUGCUGCAUGGUGGGGGUUGGAAAGUUUCGGCGGUUGGGGAUGGACUCGCGGCUUAUCAGCUUGUUGGUGUGGUAGUGGCUUACCAAGGCUUUGACGGGUAGCCGGCCUGAGAGGGUGACCGGCCACAUUGGGACUGAGAUACGGCCCAGACUCCUACGGGAGGCAGCAGUGGGGAAUAUUGCACAAUGGGCGGAAGCCUGAGGCAGCAACGCCGCGUGCGGGAUGACGGCCUUCGGGUUGUAAACCGCUUUCGCCUGUGACGAAGCGUGAGUGACGGUAAUGGGUAAAGAAGCACCGGCUAACUACGUG